GACGAACGCUGGCGGCGUGCCUAAUACAUGCAAGUUGAGCGCUGAGGCUUGGUACUUGUACCAACUGGGUGAGCAGCGCACGGGUGAGUAACGCGUGGAGAAUCUGCCUUUGAGCGGGGGACAACAUUUGGAAACGAAUGCUAAUACCGCAUAAAAACUUUAAACACAAGGUUCAAGUGUGAAAGACGCAAUUGCAUCACUCAAUGAUGAUCCCGCGUUUUAUUAGUUAGUUGGUGAGGUAAAGGCUCACCAAGGCGAUGAUACAUAGCCGACCGGAGAGGAUGAUCGGCCGCAUUGGGACGGUGACACGGCCCAAACGCCUACGGGAGGCAGCAGGAGGGAAUCGUCGGAAAGAGACGAAAGUCUUACCGAGCAGCGCCGCGGGAGUGAAGAAGGGUGUCGGAUCGUAAAACUCGGUUGGUAGAGAAGAACGUUGGUGAGAGUGGAAAGCUCAUCAAGUGACGGUAACUACUCAGAAAGGGACGGCUAACUACGUG
rnacentral:rRNA from 1 species